GAAAAGGAUGGAGACUGCAUGGUGCUGGGUUCAAGGCUGCUUUGUUCAUUCGACCAACCUGUGUGAACCUCUGCUCUGUGCCAGGCACUGUUUGAAGGCUUGUAGCAUUGAGCAAAUCAGACAUGUUCCUUCCUUCGACUCGCCCUCCUUCCUGUCUGUUCCGUGCUUGUGGAUUCAGCCACUAAUGGAUCAGAAAUAUGUGAAAAAAAGUUGCAUCUGUGCUAAAUAUACAUGGGCUUUCUUGUCAUUAUUAUUCUCUAUACAUUGUAACUAAUAUGUUUUAAACUAUAACUAAUUUACAUUAUACUAGGUCUUAUUGGUAAAUUAGAUAAUUUGACACAUCUUCUUAAACUCUUUUUACCCAGGAACUCUUUUGUUCAACAAAUUUUUUAUAUGGCCCAGGUAUAUAGGUAUAUAAUAAAACAGACAUAAAUUUCAAACCAUUCUUUGGUAUACAUUUAACUUUAUUAUAGUUAUUAAAAGUGAAAGCAAUUGGGCAGUGGUGGCACAGGCCUUUAAUCUCAGCACUAGGGAGGCAGAGGCAGGCAGAUCUCUGAAUUCGAGGCCAGCCUAGUCUUCAGAGUGAGUUUCAGGACUGCCAGGACUACACAGGGAAACCUGUCUCAGUGGGUGAAGGGGAAAAUGAAAGUAAAUUUACACACUGAUGGAAUGGUGGGAUUAUUUACUACCACAUGCAGAAUGUAAUAUUAGCUGAAUAUUUCAUAAUGCAGGGCUUAGAGCAUCCUCAAUGUUUUUCCAAGUUGAUCGAUAUUUUGAAUUUUAUAAAUAUUAGCACUAAGAAUGCUGUUUUGCAUAAAUAUGGGUACAAUAUACAAAAUGGCAGAAAUGUAUUUCUGAGAAGGGUUCGACCUUUUCAAAGAACAGGUCCCCGGAAGACUGUUGCCUCUUUGUUAUAGGAGGAUAUCUUGCAGUGUAGUGAUUCACCUUAUAUCCUUGGGCAUUUCCCAAACUCCCCCACCCUAAGCUUCAGUUCCUGCUUCUAUUCCUGCCUCAGAGCUUUAAAUGCUGUACAUUUCUCUCAAUAAAUGAGACCUUGACAACAGAACUUUUGCUUGGUCUCCUUCUUCUCUUCACCCCCAUUUUGGCCCACAGGUAGAAAGCCUCUUCGGGACCCUGAAUAACUGGGUCCCCGCUGGCAGGGACAAGAAAUUAUUGGAAAAUGUGUUCUAAUCCUAAACCAAAGUUCAAUGAGCUGUUUUUCAUGAUAUUCAAAUUAGCAAUUCAAAGUAGCACGUUGCUGUUGUUGCUGUUGUUGUUGUUAUUGUUGCUUUGAGACAGGGUUGUCUCUAUUAUAUAUGUGGCCCUGGCUAUUCUGGAACUUGCUAUGUAUGUAGACUAGGCUGGCCUUGAACUCACAGAAAUCCAUCUGCCUCUGGGAGUACUGAGGCCAAAUAAACGUGUGCAUCAUCAUGUCCCACACAUACCAAGGUGUGCUGAUUUUUACAUUUUACAUACGAAUCUGAUUUUUACAUACAGAGGAGUGGUAGUAGGAAAAUAUUCAAAAACUCUGGUAAUUGAAUAAUUGUAUUUGUUUGGUAAACAAAUAAAAAGUUAGUAAAUAAAUAAUCAAAUGGCAUCAGAAAACAUUCUAUAUAUAUCAAAAACACCACAAUGAAUAACACAGUAGGGUCAAAUCUGAGCCAAGGUGUGCCAGGCAAUGUCUGGGUGGGUUCUGUGUUUUGUGUUGGCGUUCGUUGUUGGGCACAGACAUAUAUUGCAUAUAUUGUAAUGCAUAUUCAGAGCCGAGUCCACAGUAAAGGUGUGGCAUCAGAGGGGACUGUCAGAAAUGCUUAAGAUUCCAGAUGUGUUUAUUUUGAAUUGAUUUUAAUUUAUUGUGUGCCCAGCCUAUUGUGAGUGGUGCCAUCCCUGGGCUAGAGGUCCUGGGUUCUACAAGAAAGCAGGCUGAACAAGCUAGGAGAAGCUUGCCAGUAAGCCUCCAUGCCUUCAUGGCCUCUGCAUCAGUUCCUGUCUCCAGGUUCCUGCCCUGUGUGAGUUCCAGUUCUGACUUCAUUUGGUAAUGAACAGCAAUAUGGAAGUGUAAGCCGAACAAACCCUUUCCUCCUGCUCAUGGUUCAAGACACUGUGGUUUAAAGCAUGGGAGAGGAUGUGUCACAGGCAGGCUAUGUGCAAAUACAGCGUCAGUUUAUACAAUGGGCUUGGACAUCCCAAGAUCCUGAGGUCAUCAGGGAGUUCCUGAGGAUACUGAUGGAGACAAUGUAGCCGUGAAGAUUAUAUCGUCUGGUCUACAAGGCAGUAACUGGCAAAUUGGAAAGUGUCAAGUGCCCAAGUGAAAACCGAAACAAGGCAGGCAGGAUUUGCGCUGCUAUUUUUAGACUCUGUGGCCAAGAAAGGCUUCUUAACUGAGGAGUUAUACUGAGGAAAGUCUAGAAGCCCGGGAGGACAUCUUUUGGGUGAAGGCAUCAAUAAUAGAACUACGGGAAAGGUGUACGGAAAGAAAGAUACUUGCCUUCUAAAACAGCAGUUGUUACAAUCUCUGAAUUAGUCCUCAUGCUCUAGUGUCUCGGCCGGCUUUGAUGUUUGGUUUUCCAGUUACCCACUUCCUUUCUUCAGCUCUAUUGUGGAGCUUCCCUGGAGCAGCUGUGCUGAGAAGGAAGAUGCUUCUUGACUCCAUUUUGGAAGAGUGGAGAGGCUGUCAUCCAGUCUUCUCUUUUCAGGAAGAUUUCCAGAGGCAGCAAUUCCACUCAACCACGUGUCUGUGUCCUAAGCGCACUCACACAGCAUCUUUACCGACUGGCUGGCAGGAAGGGAGACAGCUCUGAAGGAAAGGAUGUGGUUACUCUUCAAAACCCCAGUUCUGUUAAAGGAUUAAAAAAAAAAUGGUUGCAAAACACAUUCCCAUUACAGUUCAAUAGGUUUGAGCCCAUUGAAACAUGGAGUUUAUGAACAUA